rnacentral:rRNA from 1 species
UACGUAGGGGGCAAGCGUUAUCCGGAUUUACUGGGUGUAAAGGGAGCGUAGACGGCAGAGCAAGUCUGAAGUGAAAGCCCGCGGCCCAACUGCGGGACUGCUUUGGAGACUGCCCGGCUAGAGUGCUGGAGAGGUAAGCGGAAUUCCUAGUGUAGCGGUGAAAUGCGUAGAUAUUAGGAGGAACACCAGUGGCGAAGGCGGCUUACUGGACAGUAACUGACGUUGAGGCUCGAAAGCGUGGGGAGCAAACAGG